GGAACAGAUAAUAUGAGAUGAAUUUUUGGGAUUAUUGACACUUUAAUUCAUUCAGCAGAGGCAGAGAGAAAGAGAUCUGACACCCACUAACACUUUCUUUGUUAUGGGUCUGGUUUUAGGCUUUGGUUGGUUUACCAAAACAGGUGUUUUAUCAUAUUCUCCUCUAAAAUAUUUUUAAGAUUUAAAUUCAAUAAAAAGUAUAAUCCAACGAACUUUUUAUAA
rnacentral:misc_RNA from 1 species